rnacentral:rRNA from 1 species
UACGUAGGGUGCAAGCGUUGUCCGGAAUUAUUGGGCGUAAAGAGCUCGUAGGCGGUUUGUCGCGUCUGCUGUGAAAAUCCAGGGCUUAACCCUGGACCUGCAGUGGGUACGGGCAGACUAGAGUGCGGUAGGGGAGGUCGGAAUUCCUGGUGUAGCGGUGAAAUGCGCAGAUAUCAGGAGGAACACCGGUGGCGAAGGCGGACCUCUGGGCCGUAACUGACGCUGAGGAGCGAAAGCAUGGGGAGCGAACAGG